AACGAACGCUGGCGGCAGGCUUAACACAUGCAAGUCGAACGGGCACCUUCGGGUGUCAGUGGCAGACGGGUGAGUAACGCGUGGGAACGUACCCUUCGGUUCGGAAUAACCCACGGGAAACUUGGGCGUAACACCGGAUACGUCCGCAAGGAGAAAGAUUUAUCGCCGAAGGAUCGGCCCGCGUCGGAUUAGCUAGUUGGUGGGGAAUGGCCCACCAACGGCGACGAUCCGUAGCUGGUCUGAGAGGAUGANCAGCCACACUGGGACUGAGACACGGCCCAGACU
rnacentral:rRNA from 1 species